UGGGUACCCGGAGCUAAUGAAUGGACUGCUGACAUGGUUAAGCAGAAUCUUCAAGAGAUGGAGAGGCCUCGGGCUAGUAACAGCUGAAGGUUCUGUCUCCCCUGGGCCUGAAGAGGGAGGCUGGAGGGGUGGCCGGAUCAGAGCGGCCAUCCCGGGAGGUAAGAAGGAGUAAGAACUAACAUGUACCGGGUGCUACGAUGGCCAGCACUGUUCUAAACCCAUGAAUGCAUCUGAGCCACAUUUAUGGGGGGGCGGGUAUUACUGUUUAACCCAUUUGGCAGAUGGGAAAGCGGAGGCCCAGAUUCCCUUUUUCGAGAUCCCACAGUGGGGGUGGGCCCUCACUCUCCUUUGACCCUCUAAUCUCGUGCCAGAGGGUGAGGACACCGGCAGAGACCAUCGUCAAGGGUGGCAGAGCGCAGUGGAGAAGGGCAGAGAGUGGCUCUGCCGGGCAAAGGGAGGCGAUCCUACACAACAGGCAAUUAAGUGGGAGCAGCUGUUGCUGCUGCUACUAUUAUUGACAUCGUCCUUGUUGUUGGAUCAUCAAAGCAUGGGACCAGGCCCGGCUCCCGUCGGGCUCAGAUAUUUUCCAGUGGACUGAAUGAACCACUGUCCUAUUGACUACAUGGGAUCGCUACGUCAGUUGGGCCCUAAAUAGUAGAUUUAUUGAGUGGUGUAAUUGCAAAUAGUCUCCCUUUACGCUUCUGGUAGCAUAGGAAACGUUUCACUCCUGAGAGUUUUAAUGCUAUCACAUGCUUGUUGACUCAGUGAAUUCUUUUUGACAUUUAUUCAGGAUUUCCAGACUGUGUAGGAAGGAAAGCAAACCGCUGCUAUCAAUGUUAUAGGGCGAAAUAGAAAAAUAGGAUGUUUCCAUUUGGAUUGAAACGUUAGGCACUCGGAGGGGGCCUUUGAAUUUAGGUUGAGAGUUUAACACUCUCUCCUGAGACCGACCGCCCAACCUGGAAACCACAGGCGAUGCCCUGCCCCAUGGGCACCCCGUGGUCAGGAGCGAGGUCUUAGUGCUGACACACAGGGCGUAGGGCUGACAGGGUAUAGCAGGCUGGGCUGGCCAUCUAAGGCUCAGGAAUAAGAGCCGAGGAUCACUCUGCUUUUUCCCAGGCCAGGCCUUGUACCUGAGACGUUACACAGCUUGCUCAUUCAAUUCCGCUAACAACCUUCUAGGAUGGGUUCUGUUAUUAGCCCCACUUUGCAGAUGAGGAAACUGAGGCACAGGGAGACCAAGUAAUUUGCCCAAGGUCACCCAGGUGGUAAGUGGAAGACCCCCAUUUCUUUUAUUUUUCUUUCUUUUUUUGCUUUUUAGGGGUGCACCCAUGGCAUAUGGAGGUUCCCAGGCUAGGGGUCCAAUCGGAGCUACAGCUGCCAGCCUACACCACAGCCACAGCAACGCGGGAUCCGAGCCGUGUCUGCAACCUACACCACAGCUCAUGGCAACGCUGGAUCCUUAACCCAGUGAGGGAGGCCAGGGAUCGAACCUGCGUCUUCAUGGUUCCCAGUCAGAUGCGUUUCUGCUGCACCACAACGGCAACUCUGGGAGACCUUCUUUCAACUGCAGUGCUUAUCGUCUCUUGGAGAGAGAGUGGAGCUGAGGCCCUGGCUUCAGCCCUCUCAUUUUCACAAACGAGGCUCAAACAGUGAUUUGUCCAAAGGCACCUAGUCUUGUUAGCAGGAGAAUUCAGAUGAGUCUUCAUGACCGCUCCUGACUGAACCAUCCUGUCCCCCUGGGGGAAGAUCACUUACUUUUUUUUUUUCAUUUACUUACUCAUCUGGAAAAUGGGGCCAGUGAUUAUACCUUUAGCGCUUUUAAGAGACACGAUCAUUUCUGCCAUGACUUAGACACAGGGAGACACCUUGAGUAAACUGCAGGGUGCCAGGCAACAACAACAGUACUGAUAAGUAAUAAUAGCAUGUCUGGAGCCCUGGUUCUGAUCUGGAAAGUUCAAAGCUCUCAUCUGCCAACCUCUGUGAUUCCUCACGCAUAAUCCAUAAUUCUCACCACCCUCCUUUAGGUUGACAUUGGAAGAAUCCGUUACAGAGAGGCGAGUACCUUGCCAGGUUACCAGAGCUAGUGACGGAGUACCCGUACCUGACCCGUCUGGGCUGGUGGAAACCAGUAGCUGUAUCAUCAACAAAUAGAGUCAAUGCUGCCUCUUAUGUUGCACAUGUGCUUUCUCAAGCAAACCAUUUCUUCAUAAAACCUGAAUCUGAAAAGGGCACUGGUCUUUCUUGCAACAUCCUAACAGAGAUGGUGACCAGUGCCCUUCCUGGCAUCUUCUAGGAUAAGACACAGAAAGAUGCGACGUUCUUGGAGAGGAAUAUCAGGGCCCCAGAAACUCAGCCUCCGGCUGUUGUAUCCUCACAGAUAGGGCACAGGUGUCUGACGUGGCUGGAGGAGCACAGACCCAAAGGGGCCAGAAAGAAGAGUUGAGAAACAGACCUCCCCAGGGAGAGAACACUCAGGCCUGUAUAAUCCCUUGCUGUCAUUAGUUAUGUCCGCUGCCAGGGAUCUUAGACAAGUGACCUCAGAAGCCAUCCUGGGCCCAUGUGACCUGAGCCACAUCCUUUGGUGCCAAACAUGUCAGCCGCAGAGCCCAAAGCUUAAGAGCAGGCCCUGGAGCGAGGCAGAGGUGACUUUGAAUCCUGGCUCCAUUCUUUUCCAGCUGUGUGGCCUGAGACCUUUCAUCAUCUGUAAAGAGAGGUGGUCAUUCUUUCGACACCAUCCAGUCUUUCUGAAAGUUAAGAGAAAUCCUAUACUUAGAGAAGUCACCACCAAAAGAACUAGAAAACAGAAAGGGUUGCCUUUGGGGAGUGUUCGUCUGUUUGGCGAGGAGUGGGUAGGUUUUAUUUUAAGCUGGUGGCUUUCAUUAUAAAACUUUGUAGUAUUUGAGCUCUUGACCAUGAUCAGUGCAUUUCUUUGUUAAGAAUAUUUUAAAGCAUUUUAAGAGAUCAUGUAAAUCAGCACUGUGCACAAUUCCUGGCAAACAGUAAGAGCUUAAUAAAUGCACGCUGGUAAUGUCUGUGUAUCCUGAUGACUCGCCAUCACUAUUGUCUGGAUGCUUGAGGAAGGGAGGCAGGGGUGCUGUUUCAGUGAAAGCAUAUGGGCUAAGUUCCUGGGGUGUCUGGACUCACCCCCGUUCUGUUCACACCUUUACCUGUGGCUUAAAUGAAGACCUAAAUGCCACCCUUAGCAGCCACCCAGUCUUGGAACUUACGUUGCUACAAGCUACAAUGACACAUAAAGACCCUUUCCCUGUAAAACCUCAGUUUCCUCAUCUGUAAAAUGGGAGGUAGUACCACCUGCCUUGUUGGCUUGUUUUGAGGAUUAAAAGGGACAAGGUAGGGAGAAUGCCAGGCCCCGGGCCUGAGACCUUGCACGCAUUCAGGCAGCAGUCACUAUCUUCUGGCUGUGGUCAGAGAUAACAUGAAGCCAGGAGAGAUAGGGACCAUGCCGGGUGAUAGAGACAGUGUCCUGGAAGAUCUCAGUGGACAAGAAAAGGAGCCCAGGCUAGCAACUUGCACAACAGCGUCAAGUCCCACAGGAGCAGGGGAUGGACCCCUGAGGCAUCGUAGAUCCCGGGUAGGGAGGGUCCACGGACGUCAGGUCCAGGAGGGACCGGCAGCCGGAGGAGGGUUGUAGAGAUGUAACAGCCUCGAUAGCAGAGUGGCGUCCAGAGAGGGAGAACCAGUAACAGCCCUUUUCCCCCAUCACAGACCUCAUUGUAGAAUCGUGCUCAGUUUGCAGGGUUGCAUGUAGAGUGGACAUUCACAAAGUAAUAUGUCCAGGAGAGUGGCCAGGAUUGUAGACAGUCUGGAACCAGGGAACACGGGGCUUCACUUGAUAAAAUGGGGAAUUUUGGCAUUGGAGUUUUAGGGGUCCAUAAACGGCAGACCCCUGUUACUGGAUUGAUGGAGAGGCCAGGUUCCGGAUUGAUAGAGAGAGGCACAGGGUCAGACAGUGUGAUUAGAAUACGUUACUGGUGAGAAGUUUUUCUAACACUCCCCGCCCUGCCCUCCAUGCCAAAAGGGUUCAGUAAGGGAACUCCAAGUCUGCAAAGAGACGUGCUCCAGGUCAUUGCCACUCACUGAGCAGGAGGAGACAGAACAGGCAAAGAGGCUGCAUCUCUGAUGCUUGCGGAUUCACUUUACCAAGUCAAGGAAUAGACCAGGGACCGUCACCUGCCAACAGGUGCUCUACUCCACUUCCAGGGGCAGAGGGGAGGCACGGGGUGGGGGGGCGGUGUGAAAGCAGGUCCAGGUAUCUAGCUAACUGAGGAUGCUUCCCCAGGGAAGGAAGACAUGUGAGGGGGAAGAAUUACCCUUCCCAUUUAGGAACGCUGCCAGAAAUCGCCCUUGCUAGUGUGCAGAGUGCUCUCCAUUCAUUCACUCCUCGAAUCCUCAAAUCUUUAUUGCUCACUUCUUAUGUGGCAGGUGGUCUUCCAGGCUCUUGGGGAACGAAACAGCGAUUCCUGCCCUUGUGGAAAUUACAUUCUUGGUCUCGGGAGAGACUAAGACAAUAAGCAAUAAUCAUGAUAAAUAAGGAAAUUAGGUACUCUGCUAGACAGUGAUACUUGCUAU
rnacentral:lncRNA from 1 species